GACGAACGCUGGCGGCGCGCCUAACACAUGCAAGUCGAACGAGCGAGAGAGAGCUUGCUUUCUCGAGCGAGUGGCGAACGGGUGAGUAACGCGUGGGUAACCUGCCUCAUACAGGGGGAUAACAGUUGGAAACGGCUGCUAAUACCGCAUAAGCGCACAGUACCGCAUGGUACCGUGUGAAAAACUCCGGUGGUAUGAGAUGGACCCGCGUCUGAUUAGCUAGUUGGUGGGGUAACGGCCUACCAAGGCGACGAUCAGUAGCCGACCUGAGAGGGUGACCGGCCACAUUGGGACUGAGACACGGCCCAA
rnacentral:rRNA from 1 species